rnacentral:rRNA from 1 species
GCUCAGGAUGAACGCUAGCUACAGGCUUAACACAUGCAAGUCGAGGGGCAGCAUGAACUUAGCUUGCUAAGUUUGAUGGCGACCGGCGCACGGGUGAGUAACACGUAUCCAACCUGCCGAUGACUCGGGGAUAGCCUUUCGAAAGAAAGAUUAAUACCCGAUGGCAUAGUUCUUCCGCAUGGUAGAACUAUUAAAGAAUUUCGGUCAUCGAUGGGGAUGCGUUCCAUUAGGUUGUUGGCGGGGUAACGGCCCACCAAGCCUUCGAUGGAUAGGGGUUCUGAGAGGAAGGUCCCCCACAUUGGAACUGAGACACGGUCCAAACUCCUACGGGAGGCAGCAGUGAGGAAUAUUGGUCAAUGGACGGGAGUCUGAACCAGCCAAGUAGCGUGAAGGAUGACUGCCCUAUGGGUUGUAAACUUCUUUUAUACGGGAAUAAAGUUAGCCACGUGUGGCUUUUUGUAUGUACCGUAUGAAUAAGGAUCGGCUAACUCCGUGCCAGCAGCCGCGGUAAUACGGAGGAUCCGAGCGUUAUCCGGAUUUAUUGGGUUUAAAGGGAGCGUAGGCGGACGCUUAAGUCAGUUGUGAAAGUUUGCGGCUCAACCGUAAAAUUGCAGUUGAUACUGGGUGUCUUGAGUACAGUAGAGGCAGGCGGAAUUCGUGGUGUAGCGGUGAAAUGCUUAGAUAUCACGAAGAACUCCGAUUGCGAAGGCAGCUUACUGGACUGUAACUGACGCUGAUGCUCGAAAGUGUGGGUAUCAAACAGGAUUAGAUACCCUGGUAGUCCACACAGUAAACGAUGAAUACUCGCUGUUUGCGAUAUACAGUAAGCGGCCAAGCGAAAGCGUUAAGUAUUCCACCUGGGGAGUACGCCGGCAACGGUGAAACUCAAAGGAAUUGACGGGGGCCCGCACAAGCGGAGGAACAUGUGGUUUAAUUCGAUGAUACGCGAGGAACCUUACCCGGGCUUGAAUUGCAGAGGAAGGAUUUGGAGACAAU